AUGUGGCCGGGGAGGAUUCCUCAGGUGACGUCCACCAUCCUUGUUUGGUGCACUGGAGACCCCAGGAGUUUGGGGCGGGCGCUAGCAGCGAGUGCAGGCUCCCCUGCAGUGGGGCAGGUGGGCAGCGGUGGGCAGGACCUCCAGGGUACUGGCCUUUCAGCUCAGAGAGAGAAACAGGCUCAGGCCCACUCCCGUCCUGGCUGCUGGGCCCUCUGGAGUCGGAGGCCGGGGUGCCUGCCUCGGUUUCUCCAGGUUCAGAAGGACCCUCCCAGCCCCACAGCCCGGCGGCACCCUCAGGCCCGUGGACUUGCCCCUUCCCAGGAGAGCUGCCCCGCGCCUCCUCUUUCUUUCCCCAUCUCCUCUCUGCACUGGCACUUAUUAUGCACCUACUGUGUGCAGGGCUCUGAGUGCUGGGGACCAGAGAGGAAGGGGGGCAGUGGCCAGGCUUGGUCUGAGAGUUGGCCGGGGUGGAAGAGCGAGGUGCCGGGGCUGGGGAGGCUGCUGGUCUGCAGCGCAGUUUGGAAGGUCUGGGCCCAGGCAGCGGUGGGGGGGCUGUGCACGGUCUGGGGGCGCUGCAGGGUGACCCGAAAGUCCUGGAAAGUCCUGGCUGCAGCUGGGCAGCAGCGGGAGGGGUGUGGCUGCGGGGGGUGCCAGCCCUCACUCCCAGGCCCAGCCGCCCAGGCGAGGGCCAGGCGAGGGCCUUGGGGGCAGAAGCGGGAGCCGAGCUGGCCUCCCCGCGCAGUUACCUUGGGAGGGCCUCGCUGCCGGCUGUUGCUGUGGGAAGGCUGCAGGUCUCAUGACCAGUCAGCCCAGCCCAGCACUUUCCUCGCGCAGUUCCAGGCUGGGGUGAGGCCUGAGCGUGCCGUGCGCCUGUGUGGCCACUGGGCUCCAGGCCCGAGGGUGAGCCUGCCUCGUGGGGUCCUGCCCCGCGGCACCCUGGGUGGCUGGGGGACUGUGCGCUGUGCUCGGGGAGGGUCCCAGGCGCGGGCACACACGCCCCGCUGGAUCUCUGAGGCCACGGCCGGUCCGGGUUGCAGCUCCCCUUCCUGCCAGUGUCCUCGUUCCCAGGCCCACCACUGCCCUGGUGACAUGCAAAUGCGCCCACCGUCCCUGGCCCCUCUGGAGGGCGGCCAGUUUCCAUGCAAACUGGGCUUUGGUUAA
rnacentral:lncRNA from 1 species